rnacentral:rRNA from 1 species
AAGUUAGAAAGGGCGCACGGUGGAUGCCUUGACACUAGGAGUCGAUGAAGGACGGGACUAACGCCGAUAUGCUUCGGGGAGCUGUAAGUAAGCUUUGAUCCGAAGAUUUCCGAAUGGGGAAACCCACCAUACGUAAUGGUAUGGUAUCCUUACCUGAAUACAUAGGGUAAGGAAGACAGACCCAGGGAACUGAAACAUCUAAGUACCUGGAGGAAGAGAAAGCAAAUGCGAUUUCCUGAGUAGCGGCGAGCGAAACGGAACAUAGCCCAAACCAAGAGGCUUGCCUCUUGGGGUUGUAGGACAUUCUAUACGGAGUUACAAAGGAAUGAGGUAGACGAAGCGACCUGGAAAGGUCCGUCGUAGAGGGUAACAACCCCGUAGUCGAAACUUCGUUCUCUCUUGAAUGUAUCCUGAGUACGGCGGAACACGUGAAAUUCCGUCGGAAUCUGGGAGGACCAUCUCCCAAGGCUAAAUACUCCCUAGUGAUCGAUAGUGAACCAGUACCGUGAGGGAAAGGUGAAAAGCACCCCGGAAGGGGAGUGAAAGAGAUCCUGAAACCGUGUGCCUACAAAUAGUCAGAGCCCGUUAAUGGGUGAUGGCGUGCCUUUUGUAGAAUGAACCGGCGAGUUACGAUCCCGUGCGAGGUUAAGCUGAAGAGGCGGAGCCGCAGCGAAAGCGAGUCUGAAUAGGGCGUUUAGUACGUGGUCGUAGACCCGAAACCAGGUGAUCUACCCAUGUCCAGGGUGAAGUUCAGGUAACACUGAAUGGAGGCCCGAACCCACGCACGUUGAAAAGUGCGGGGAUGAGGUGUGGGUAGCGGAGAAAUUCCAAUCGAACCUGGAGAUAGCUGGUUCUCCCCGAAAUAGCUUUAGGGCUAGCCUUAAGUGUAAGAGUCUUGGAGGUAGAGCACUGAUUGAACUAGGGGUCCUCAUCGGAUUACCGAAUUCAGUCAAACUCCGAAUGCCAAUGACUUAUCCUUAGGAGUCAGACUGCGAGUGAUAAGAUCCGUAGUCAAGAGGGAAACAGCCCAGAUCGCCAGCUAAGGUCCCAAAGUGUGUAUUAAGUGGAAAAGGAUGUGGAGUUGCUUAGACAACUAGGAUGUUGGCUUAGAAGCAGCCACCAUUUAAAGAGUGCGUAAUAGCUCACUAGUCGAGUGACUCUGCGCCGAAAAUGUACCGGGGCUAAAUACACCACCGAAGCUGCGAAUUGAUACCAAUGGUAUCAGUGGUAGGGGAGCGUUCUAAGUGCAGUGAAGUCAGACCGGAAGGACUGGUGGAGCGCUUAGAAGUGAGAAUGCCGGUAUGAGUAGCGAAAGACGGGUGAGAAUCCCGUCCACCGAAUGCCUAAGGUUUCCUGAGGAAGGCUCGUCCGCUCAGGGUUAGUCAGGACCUAAGCCGAGGCCGACAGGCGUAGGCGAUGGACAACAGGUUGAUAUUCCUGUACCACCUCUUUAUCGUUUGAGCAAUGGAGGGACGCAGAAGGAUAGAAGAAGCGUGCGAUUGGUUGUGCACGUCCAAGCAGUUAGGCUGAUAAGUAGGCAAAUCCGCUUAUCGUGAAGGCUGAGCUGUGAUGGGGAAGCUCCUUAUGGAGCGAAGUCUUUGAUUCCCCGCUGCCAAGAAAAGCUUCUAGCGAGAUAAAAGGUGCCUGUACCGCAAACCGACACAGGUAGGCGAGGAGAGAAUCCUAAGGUGUGCGAGAGAACUCUGGUUAAGGAACUCGGCAAAAUGACCCCGUAACUUCGGGAGAAGGGGUGCUUUCUUAACGGAAAGCCGCAGUGAAUAGGCCCAAGCGACUGUUUAGCAAAAACACAGCUCUCUGCGAAGCCGUAAGGCGAAGUAUAGGGGGUGACACCUGCCCGGUGCUGGAAGGUUAAGGAGAGGGGUUAGCGUAAGCGAAGCUCUGAACUGAAGCCCCAGUAAACGGCGGCCGUAACUAUACCGGUCCGAAGGUAGCGAAAUUCCUUGUCGGGUAAGUUCCGCCCCG